AAAUUGAAGAGUUUGAUCAUGGCUCAGAUUGAACGCUGGCGGCAGGCCUAACACAUGCAAGUCGAACGGUAACAGGAAGCAGCUUGCUGAUUUGCUGACGAGUGGCGGACGGGUGAGUAAUGUCUGGGAAACUGCCUGAUGGAGGGGGAUAACUACUGGAAACGGUAGCUAAUACCGCAUAACGUCGCAAGACCAAAGAGGGGGACCUUCGGGCCUCUUGCCAUCGGAUGUGCCCAGAUGGGAUUAGCUAGUAGGUGGGGUAAAGGCUCACCUAGGCGACGAUCCCUAGCUGGUCUGAGAGGAUGACCAGCCACACUGGAACUGAGACACGGUCCAGACUCCUACGGGAGGCAGCAGUGGGGAAUAUUGCACAAUGGGCGCAAGCCUGAUGCAGCCAUGCCGCGUGUAUGAAGAAGGCCUUCGGGUUGUAAAGUACUUUCAGCGGGGAGGAAGGGAGUAAAGUUAAUACCUUUGCUCAUUGACGUUACCCGCAGAAGAAGCACCGGCUAACUCCGUGCCAGCAGCCGCGGUAAUACGGAGGGUGCAAGCGUUAAUCGGAAUUACUGGGCGUAAAGCGCACGCAGGCGGUUUGUUAAGUCAGAUGUGAAAUCCCCGGGCUCAACCUGGGAACUGCAUCUGAUACUGGCAAGCUUGAGUCUCGUAGAGGGGGGUAGAAUUCCAGGUGUAGCGGUGAAAUGCGUAGAGAUCUGGAGGAAUACCGGUGGCGAAGGCGGCCCCCUGGACGAAGACUGACGCUCAGGUGCGAAAGCGUGGGGAGCAAACAGGAUUAGAUACCCUGGUAGUCCACGCCGUAAACGAUGUCGACUUGGAGGUUGUGCCCUUGAGGCGUGGCUUCCGGAGCUAACGCGUUAAGUCGACCGCCUGGGGAGUACGGCCGCAAGGUUAAAACUCAAAUGAAUUGACGGGGGCCCGCACAAGCGGUGGAGCAUGUGGUUUAAUUCGAUGCAACGCGAAGAACCUUACCUGGUCUUGACAUCCACGGAAGUUUUCAGAGAUGAGAAUGUGCCUUCGGGAACCGUGAGACAGGUGCUGCAUGGCUGUCGUCAGCUCGUGUUGUGAAAUGUUGGGUUAAGUCCCGCAACGAGCGCAACCCUUAUCCUUUGUUGCCAGCGGUCCGGCCGGGAACUCAAAGGAGACUGCCAGUGAUAAACUGGAGGAAGGUGGGGAUGACGUCAAGUCAUCAUGGCCCUUACGACCAGGGCUACACACGUGCUACAAUGGCGCAUACAAAGAGAAGCGACCUCGCGAGAGCAAGCGGACCUCAUAAAGUGCGUCGUAGUCCGGAUUGGAGUCUGCAACUCGACUCCAUGAAGUCGGAAUCGCUAGUAAUCGUGGAUCAGAAUGCCACGGUGAAUACGUUCCCGGGCCUUGUACACACCGCCCGUCACACCAUGGGAGUGGGUUGCAAAAGAAGUAGGUAGCUUAACCUUCGGGAGGGCGCUUACCACUUUGUGAUUCAUGACUGGGGUGAAGUCGUAACAAGGUAACCGUAGGGGAACCUGCGGUUGGAUCACCUCCUUACCUUAAAGAAGC
rnacentral:rRNA from 1 species